ensembl:misc_RNA 7SK 7SK RNA
GGAUAUGAGGGCAAUCUAGCCGCGACAUGUCACCCCACUAAUCACCAGCAUUGAUCUGAUUAUCUGGCUAGGCCAGUCUCCCCUUCCUCCCUCAUGGCUCCAUGUAUAUUCCUCCUGAAGCUUUGGGCUCAAAGCAGACAACUUUCCCAGAUAAGAGUACUGUUCUUCAGUCAAGGGUACAUGAGUAGCUGUGCUCCCCUGCUAGUACCUCCAAACAAGCUCUAAGGUCAAUGGUUACCACCCAAGUUCAUUACCCAAGUCCCUU